GUGCCAGCCGCCGCGGUAAUACGUAGGUGGCAAGCGUUAUCCGGAAUUAUUGGGCGUAAAGCGCGCGCAGGCGGUUUCUUAAGUCUGAUGUGAAAGCCCACGGCUCAACCGUGGAGGGUCAUUGGAAACUGGGGAACUUGAGUGCAGAAGAGAAAAGCGGAAUUCCACGUGUAGCGGUGAAAUGCGUAGAGAUGUGGAGGAACACCAGUGGCGAAGGCGGCUUUUUGGUCUGUAACUGACGCUGAGGCGCGAAAGCGUGGGGAGCAAACAGGAUUAGAUACCCCCGUAGUCC
rnacentral:rRNA from 1 species